GAAGGUUUUGUGGACUUCGGUGUCGCCCUGCGGGAAAGGCUUCCAGCCGCCCCAGGCUGCGUUGGCUGAAGACCGUCGUGAUGAGCGUGGAGGAGAUGGCAUUCAAGGGGUAUCAGGU
rfam:Streptomyces sp. Ncost-T10-10d genome assembly, contig: Ga0115254_1072